CUCAGCUCUUUCCACUUACAAAUAACAUACAUUUUUCUCUAUUGCACCAAAUCAUUAGUAUCAAUUCACACUACUACUCAGCUCCAAAAGGCCAAAUUCCACAACUCCAUCAUCUCGAUGAUCUUGACAUGCUACAUCUUGAUGAGAAUUGUACAAAAACAAAUUGUACAAAAACAAACAUAUCGAUCUUUGUACGGGACUACAUCAUUAGUAGUAAUUCACACUGUUGAAUUACAAAUGGCCAACAAUUCCUUGUGGGGGUUCUUGCGGCAAACAUCUUCAAUUCCACCAAUCUCAAACAUUUUAACAUGAGAACUGCAUUGCUCUUUGUACUACACUUCAUCAGUAGUGUUAAUUUCCCCUAUUUAAUUCCAAAUGGAAGACAAAUUCGUUGGAGUGUUUGCUGCUCAACAUCUUCAAUUCCACCAAUCUCAUCAAUUCCAAUAUGAUAGUUACCUUGUAUGAAUUGUAAAUAAACAAACAUAUUCAGAUAAGGGUACCUUGAUUAACUUCCUCAUCAGUUAAAUAUGAAUUGCAAUUGAGCACGUUACUUCACAAAUCUGCAUGUGCAUGGUGACUAAAUCAUUUGAUGACAAAACAGUAGCCAGUUUCGGCAGUCUGUUGUGUCCCCCAGGCCAAAUACGAAGGACAUUUUCCAGAACAUACACUAGAACAAGGCUGCAGCUGUAACGUUAAAUUUGUAGGAAUGCUUACUAAGAAAGAAUGAUGAUUAAUUGCUUAUAGCACGAAUGAUCCAUCUUACAUCAUAAAAUAAGCAUAAGAGAAGUUUGAGAUUCAGGUAAAUGAAUGUACCUGACUUGUAGCUGCGCUAUAUAUCUUCUCUUCAAAUCGUACAGCAAUUUUCUGAAGUUCAUUUAAGCCUUCCGGCACAGAAAUAGGCAAGUGUCUCUUUAAAGUGUCCAUUCUGCAAAAAAAAAAAAAAAAAGCCAGUAAAUGCCGCUGAUAAUGGAGUUGAAUCUCACGAAGAAACUAUUAACAAGAAAACUGUGUGCCUGCAUAGAUAUUGAAAACUGUGUGCCUGCAUAGAUAUUGUUGAUGAGGACUCAUCCAUAUAUAACGAAGGUUACUCUAAGAACAAGAUCUCUACCCAUGAUUUCGUUCAGACCUAUCAAGUUAAAAACAUAAAUAAACGCAAUUUUUGAUAUAUUUCUUAACAAGCGCAGACAAAUAUUCCCUCCCUUUCUUCUUCUUACAAUCUUAUCCCCUUGUUAUCUCUCUCUCUCUCUCUAGAUAUAUAGAUAUAGAUAUAGAUAUAGCGACAGGGGAUUCCUUGAGGGAACUUGGUGUCCUAUCUACGGUCCAAAACUCCAUCAUCUCCAUCAAUUNNNNNNNNNNNNNNNNNNNNNNNNNNNNNNNNNNNNNNNNNNNNNNNNNNNNNNNNNNNNNNNNNNNNNNNNNNNNNNNNNNNNNNNNNNNNNNNNNNNNNNNNNNNNNNNNNNNNNNNNNNNNNNNNNNNNNNNNNNNNNNNNNNNNNNNNNNNNNNNNNNNNNNNNNNNNNNNNNNNNNNNNNNNNNNNNNNNNNNNNNNNNNNNNNNNNNNNNNNNNNNNNNNNNNNNNNNNNNNNNNNNNNNNNNNNNNNNNNNNNNNNNNNNNNNNNNNNNNNNNNNNNNNNNNNNNNNNNNNNNNNNNNNNNNNNNNNNNNNNNNNNNNNNNNNNNNNNNNNNNNNNNNNNNNNNNNNNNNNNNNNNNNNNNNNNNNNNNNNNNNNNNNNNNNNNNNNNNNNNNNNNNNNNNNNNNNNNNNNNNNNNNNNNNNNNNNNNNNNNNNNNNNNNNNNNNNNNNNNNNNNNNNNNNNNNNNNNNNNNNNNNNNNNNNNNNNNNNNNNNNNNNNNNNNNNNNNNNNNNNNNNNNNNNNNNNNNNNNNNNNNNNNNNNNNNNNNNNNNNNNNNNNNNNNNNNNNNNNNNNNNNNNNNNNNNNNNNNNNNNNNNNNNNNNNNNNNNNNNNNNNNNNNNNNNNNNNNNNNNNNNNNNNNNNNNNNNNNNNNNNNNNNNNNNNNNNNNNNNNNNNNNNNNNNNNNNNNNNNNNNNNNNNNNNNNNNNNNNNNNNNNNNNNNNNNNNNNNNNNNNNNNAUAUUGAAAAGUGAUGAUUACAUAAAUCAAUCAGAUAAAAUGAUGCACUCCAUAAUAGAUUUUUUACACUACUCACAGUGCACAAAAAAAAUUUUAUGAUAUAUGAUAAUGGGCUCAGUCGUCAGAAAAUUUUAGAGGAGGCAAACACCUCUCUUAUUGCUAAUAGAUUUCAUGAAUUUCAUUACUAUUUUCUCACCGGACAGUAAAAAAUUGCUAAUAUACAUGUAACAGACACUUAGGCAUUAUUUCUGAAAGAAAGUCUCGUGACUUUGGCAUGUAAGAAUUUCUAACAAGUUAUUGGAUACUAUGGUUUCAGAAAAAUGUUUGACUCCGAAUUACAUAAGAUUGUUAUUGAGAUACAUGCAACUUCCUAGUUAUACCUUUGAAGCUUUGACUAUUUGUAUGAAGGGUAUUGAUGAAUUGGAGCUCAAAGACAGUGGUGAGUAAAUGUUAGUUGGGAGGUGAAUUCAUAAUGAAAGUUAUUUUCUAAUUUUGUGCAGUGAUUAGCCGGGUAAUAUAUUGAUCAAAGAUUUAAAAUAUUUUGAUCAGCUAUAUUUUGAUCAUUCAUGAAUCAUUUUAUCGCUUAUCUAGAUGAUCUAAUUGUGACAUGUGGCCUCAGCCAAGUAUUAUCCAUGCCAAUAUUUUCCACAUCAUAAUUUUAAUUCUUUGAUUUCCACAAAUGCUUAUAACCAACUCAAUUUCGUUUGAAUGUUGGGGACUAUCAAUGGAGUUCCAGUAGGGCCAGAGUAUGGGAGCUCUUGGAGGUGCCGAUGUGGUGAUAAGUCCCGCUGAUCCAGUGCACCACCAACUUUGUAUCCAUAGAUCUCACAAACUUACAUCGGAGAAAAAUUAUUGGUUGAACCAAAUCCAUCACAUCAUUUUUAGACCAGUUCAACAAUAAUUCGAUACAUCUGAAACUUAGGUAGAGGGGAAAAAUAUCGGCGAAUGAAAGUUUUUCAACCCCUUUGAUAUUGUAGUUAAUGGCUGGCUAAAUUGUUUUGAGUUUGCUGCAAUCGCAACUUCUCAAACUGGUAUUCUAUCUUGUUACUCGAAAUCUUCCUCCGUCUCUCCAUCUGCCUCCUUCAUGGUAUCUCCCAUGAUGGGCUCCAAGCCUAUGUCGACAGAGAUGAGUUAGUGGCAAUAGUAAGGGCAUCUUGGAAAGGGCCUCGGCCCUACAAAAACCUCUGGUGCACAGCUUGUGGCUCCAAGCCCAUUGCCAGUGAGGAUGAGUUGACGGCAUCGGCAUGGGGAUCUUGGAGAGGGCCCAAGACUUGUCUCGAUUUUUUAGCAUUUUUACAUCCUUUGAUCCCUAAUCUAGUCGAUCAGUUUCUCUGCAAUAGGUAUUUGGCCUCCAUGAUGUCUUCUACAAGGAUCUCGAUUGCGCCUCUUAGAGCUCCAAGCCCAUUGCCAAUAGAGAUGAGUUGGCGACAAUGGCGAGGGGAUCUUAGAGAGGGCUUCCAAUGCACCGCCUCUGGUGGAGAUGAACCGACAAUAGUGGCAAGGGGAUUUGAAGAGGGCCUGGCCCUGAUCUUAAUUUAUUGACAUAUUUAUAUCACGUUGGUCCUUAAUCUUGCCAAUUUUUUUCCUCCACAAACAUUUUGAAUUGUGAUUGAACUGAUCCAAAAAUGAUAGAGUGGAUCUACUUUAAUCAAUAUUUUUUCCAUCUUUUCUUCGGGGCAUCACCAACAAUGAUCCAUGCCCUUCUUUGGGUUAAAGACUACAUCCCAUCUGCUAACACCUUAUUGAUCAAUCAAUGUCAACAUCUUCUUUGAUGAAUGGUUUUACCGACACCACCCCCGGCCGACCAUCCUGGGUCCUCGACCAUAUUGCUAUCUCGACCUCCAACCUUCGCCGAAGGCUUGCUUUGGCCUCAAUCUCAACCUCCAUCGAGAUCCCUCUAAGAUCUUUGGGCUUUUGUUUGCCUUAUGGAUUUUGUCGUGGGCGCACUUUUCUAACAUAGUAUUCUAGAUCACAUAAAAAUCAUUUUUAGAGUGUUAAUUAUUUGAUUUCUACAAAUUAUUCACCAAGUAAAUAUCUUUCGUCAUGCGUAUUAUCUAUAAAAUACGUAUCCUUGCCAUUAAAUUAGGACAAUCUGAAAGAAUUGGCAUCUAGUGCAUGACUUUGACUUGGGGCUUGCUGACAUGGACAUACAUUGCAGCUAAAAUCUCAUUAUGUUUUAAAAGUUUGAGAUAAGACAAUUAGUCAUUAAUUUCUCCCCUACCAGCCACGGAGGAAUUAAGUUUUCAGCUAUUGCUUUUUUAGAUCAAGCCUCUACAGUUCUGACAAUAGUAGGAUAAUCGAUCUGAAGAAGUCCAGCUGAUUUGAAUUUUGAAGUUCCACUCAGAUUUACGUUUUAGAUAGUAUUGGGUCUUUAUAUCAUUAGGGGAUAUGGGUAAAGGUAGACCAGUUAAUAUCUGUCCAAAUUAAUCGUUGUAUCCGAACCUACUCAAACAUGGAUAAAAAUUUAAGUAUUCGACUAAUAUCCGUAUUCGUAUCUAUGUCUACAAAAAAAAAAAAAGGAUAUAGAUAAAUAACUGUACGAUUUGUAACCAAAUAUUUGAUUUUACUUAUAAUCUUAUUUAAUUUUAUAUAGUAUCUAUUAAGUUUUAAAAAAAUAUAUAACUAUAUUAACAUGCCAUUAAUUUGAUUUAUCAUUAACUUAGUAAUAUUUUUUAUUGUGGUCAUAAAAUUUAACUAUGCAAUUUAUAUCCAUAUUUAUAUCAAUAUUUUUCGUAUCCAAUUUGUAUAUGUAUCCGUUUAAAAUAAAUAUAGAUAUGAAAAUUUUCAUCCGAUUAAUAUCUAUAUUAAUAUUUAUAUUAAAAAAAUAAAUAUAGAUAUAGAUAUACUGAUAUUCGAUCUAUAUUCAAUCUAAUUUUUGCCCUAGUAGAAGAUAAAUCUAGCGAGCUGAUUAGGGCUGGGACGGUAGGGCUUUUUGGAAUUGAGCUAUGGUUCCUGUGUUGCUUGGGCUUCUUUGCUUUCUUUUUUUAAUCAUUUUGCUCAAAAUAAAAAAAAUAAAAUAAAAUAGUUUUCUUUUUCUUUAGGGUAGAGCAUGAUAAAGUUUCAAAAUUUGGUUCCCCAGGAUCACACCAAAGAUGUCUUAUGUACCAAGUUAGUACGGAGAAGAUGAUAAAAGAAAUAAUUACAAAGGUAUAGGAAUUUUUCUUAUAUCUCCAAGGGUCCAAUUCUUGCUAGUGGCAUUUCUAACAUAUUUUUCUCAAAAAUACAAGAAGUAAUUAAAUGCCUGUUUAGUACUUUUUUUUAAAAAAAAAUAGAAAUAUAGAACCAAAUAUAAAAAAAUAUAUUUGGCUAUCAUAUUUCUAUUUCAUUUUUUUAAAACAACUCUCAUUAUUUUCGAAAAAGGAGAAAGCAAAAAAAAUUACUUCCAUUUUUUUACAUAAUAGAUUUUCACCUUUAUCAUCCCAACCCGGCAACCCCACUUCUUUUUUUGCCUAAUCUUAUCCUCUACACCAUUGCCACCAGCCAACGUACCACCUCUCUGGACUUUGCCAGCCAUCUUUCUACCCGAUGCAAGCUAUCCCUCAUUCUCGCCGCAUCGCCGGACCCAUUCCUACUUCCUUUUCCUCUCACACUCCCUCGACUGUCUCUCUGCUCGACAUCAAGCUCUUCCUUGUUUUUAGCCACAUCAUCAGCCCCAACUCCCUUGUUUUCUAUUGUCUGAAAUCUGAAAAAAAAUAGGAAUAGAAUUUCUAAUUUCAAUUUUUUUUAAAAAAAAUGACAAUGAUGCCAAACACAACAUAAGUUUGCAUUAACAAACAAGAGAGAAUAACAUCCCCAAGCCCAACUAGCUUCAGUAUUCUGAACCAGUACUGACAAAUUAGGAUGUUCAGAGAGAAUAGAUAUAUCAGCUAGAGGAAAACUAUGAAGACGAACAAGAUGAUAAAGAAGAAAAAGAUGAAAAAGAAAGAAUCCAAAUGAUGAUGAUGAUGAACAUCUUGUAAUUGCUGCUUCAUUUGCUCUCUUUGCAUCAGUUGCCGUUGUUGAUCCUGCUGUUGUUGCUUCAAAUACUGCUGCUGUAUUGUGUUAGAACUUGGUUGCACAAGACUAGCAUUAGGUUGUAAUGUAUUCAUAGAGCUGUUUGAUAGAGUAUUGGUGUUGGUCUGUUGAGGUGCAUUGACGGUACUUGGCACAGAUCCCACACCACCUUGUUGCUUGGAGCCCACAGCACCCUGCUGCAAUGAAUUAAAAGAACUGCCUUGUACUGAAUCCAGAUUAGCAGCAGGCUGUAAUGCAUUUGUGAUAUUCUGCUGUGUCGUUGGAACACCAAAGUUUGUUGGUCAAGGCAUGGAUACAUGUUGCAUGCCGGUCACAGCAGAUGGCUGCAUUGAAGUUGCUGAAACUUGUAAAUUCAUUUGUUGCACCUGGUUUGGGUGAUUGUCAAUUUGUCAUGCUGCUGCAGCUGAGAAACUUGGGAUGGUUGUUGCUGUGGCAUGGAGUGAGCAAGCCCACCAGGAUGCUGGAAUUGCUGUUGUCCCUGAGAUUGCGAUGGUAUACCUUUCUUUUUAGUUGAAGCUAGAACAUUAUGAAUUUGUCUCUCAUACAGAGGAAGUUUUUCCUUCAAACCAGGUUGAAUAUUAUUCUUUGAAAUCUGUAGAAUCACUAAAGUACGCUCUAACAUUGUCUUAAAGGUUUUCAUUUUUUCAAACUGUUCUGACGGCUUUGCAGGUGGUAUGAGAGCAUCAUGCUGAAGACAUUAAAAUACCAAGAGAGAUGCAUAAGUUAUCAACGAUCAGAAAGGCUAGCAGAAGUUAGUUUAAAUACAAGAUUUCUUCUAUUAAUGUUUUGAAAUAAAAUCUAAAUUCUGUGCAACAAAUUCACAAGAGAUAUUAGAACCUGCUGCAACUUCAAAGCGACCUUUUGGUAGAACUCAUUGAGGUCCGUAAAGUACAUCUCCCUCCAGGAUUUUAUCUGUCGUCAAUAAAAUAUAAUCAAAAUAUUAAUGAUAAAACUUCACAGGAACAUAUAUAGAUGCAACUUGUACUCUAAUUGUAGAAGCUAUAAAAUUGAUAUACCCAAUGGUUUAUGUUACCAGCACAUAAAUCUGAUAAGCAAAAGAAAACAUGACAAGAUGUACCAAUUCAUAUCGACAUUGAGAAAUGUGACUUCCUUCGAUGCAUGUUAUCAGUGAAGAUACAUGAAUGUGUUUUGGGUCUAAAAACAUGUGAUGCGCCUAUUUGGUCAUCAGAGAACAUAAUCUAAACUAACAGAAAAUAUUAUAGAUGACUUGCAACUUUUCUGCUCAUAAUUCUUUUUGACCUCAGGGCUUAUAAAUUUCCCUCCCAACUAUUCUCCCAAAAAAUUUUCUCAUCAUUCUCAUCCUAAAUUUUUCUUGCAAGUCUUUUGACUCAAAAUCCUUGACAAAACCCAUGCAUGGCCUGCCAUCAACUUCUCUUCUGACCAAACCUGUAAAUUAUAGUAGUAUGAUGCAUGUGCCAUGCAUGCACUUUGAUGAAUAGGAAUCCUGAAAAGUCUGGAGUUUCUAUCUGGACCCUAGUGUUGAGGUGUGCCAGGGGCACAGAGGCAUGCAACACGUCCAAGUAUCAGCACUGCAAUAAUUUCUCAUGAGAUGUCCUGGCGCUUGAAAUCUUGAAAGAAACAACAUAAAGAACAUUUUAGAAAAUACAAAAAUGGACCUAUAUGAACUGGAGCUCCAUGGAUGGAGUACUCUGAAGUUUCAAUUUAAUAGUAGAAUGGAUGAGAGUACGGGGAAUUGCUACUGAUGUUAUGACCUGACAAAAGAAUUUCAAUGUUUAAGUAAUUAUUUCCCUAGAAUAGGACAGAAGCUAGACCAACACUACACAAAAGAAAUGAAUUUCAGUGAUAAAAACAUUCCAAGCAGGGCUAUAAUAAUUAAAGGGCUAUAAAAAGUAGCCGUUCAACAAAGCCAAGUUCCUCAUGAGUUCCAUAUUAUAAUACAUAGCCCAGAGCAAGGUAGUCAGAAUCUUAAAAACUUCAUUUCCAAAGACAAGGGCCAAUAUGAGAAGUUUAGGGGAAUUUGUUUGGUUUACUUAUUAUAAUUUGAUAUGGAGAUGUCAGGUGCUCUGGAAUUAUUUUGAACAAAUAUCCAAGAUGCUUAUUCAAAGUCAGUAUAGCUUUAUGCUAGUAAAGUAAUCAAACACGAAAAUAUUAGCCUCUCUUUCGAGACUCCAGAUGAGCUGACAAUAUAUGUUAUCACUUAAGAAAAAAAUUUCAGUCUAUUCAAACUGUGGAUGGUUUGGAGCUGAUUUGGCCCUCAAUUUGGAGAAAUUAUAUCCUACAACACGUGCACCACAUGGUGGUGCACCACACCAAUCACCUCAUCUCAUUUUUGUGGGGCCCAUUCACCAUACAUUUGUCUCAGAUUGCCACCCCUCUAACCUCUUCUCAGAUUGUUCCUAUGGCGCACCACUGACGUGGUGCACAUGGUGUAGGGUAUAAUUUCUCCUCAAUUUGAGCCACUUGACCGACCGCAAAGGUAUUGAUCAAGCUUUCAACUUCAGAAUUUGGGAAAAAUAAAGGUUAUGUCAAAAAUUACACAAAAGAGUGUGAAGACUUAAGUUGUUUCAAUGUUACCUUCUGAUAGAUCUCCUCCUGCAGAUCAGCAACACCUGCAUCGCCUGUUUGAGCUAUUGAAUCCACUGACGCUGAAAAAGAAAAGAGAAUUCCUAAAUCAAGAGGGAUAAAACUGAAAAUGGAAAUUCAGCCUGUAAUACAAUCAUUUGGCAAAAACCUUUUCAAUUUUCAAGUGGUGGGAUGAAUCAGCUCAAACAAAUGAAGAAAUAAUUUAUAUUAACUAAAAUUUCCUAAAGGUUUUCAAACAAGCAUGACAUUUUGUGAUGUACAAGGAACAAAGGAGGAACUGCAAGAAUUAUUAUGCAAUCACUUACAAAUAAAGAACACUUAACCUUCAGUCCUAGUGAAAUACUUAAAGCAAGCCUGUCACUUUAUCAUAUCAUGGAUAUGCUAGCCUUUUCAGAUCAUUACACAAUUUUGUGGACAAUUUGUUCAGCAUGGCAUAAGUAUGGUCAGAGAUUCUUUAAAAUCAUGAGUUAUUUUCCGAGAAAAUGUAUCUCAACAAUGGAGCAAGACAAGAUUGAAGAACACGUAAUAGAAAGAAAAUGACACAACAAAAUGCACAAUCCUGCAUGAUUGAAUAGAACUGGCAGGCAUGCGUCAGGAAAUAUAAUUUCUGCAGUGUAAUUAACAGCCAGACAAAUAUCAUUCUCAAUCCUAGAGCAUCAUCAAUUAUGAUGGCUAGGGAUUAUAGGCAGGAUCAUAAAUUGCAGAUGAAUAAGAAAUAAUUCAUUAAUGAGACCACUAAUGUUAUGACCUUUUCCAGUAUGAAUGAAGAGUAUCUAACCAUACAGCAUGGUUGUUGGCACUAGCAAACUUAAAACCUAAGGGAGAAAGUAAUGAUCUGAAUGCGGUUACAGUUGGAAGCAAACCAAGCACCAGAUAGUAACAAGGUUAAAGAGGCUAAAAGGCAAACAGUGGACCCAGGACAAACAGACAAAACAGAUAGACUAGGUAAAAAAUAUAAGCUAGCCAAAAAGGAGAGGAAGGCAAGUUACCAGCUCGAUAGGGCUUCAGGAAAAUAUGCAACUCCUGGGUUUGAAAUUCUAAAAACAAGAACAUAAAAUAUUGUGCAAUUCACAGCAAUGGAAUGCAGCUGCUGAAAACCAAGCAGAGCAUACAUGUAAAAGUUGUGAGCAUAUUAAAAUGUUACAACAGGAAACCAAGGGCCAGAAUCAAGAAACUUAUAAAUGUUAAAAAGAGACAAGGCAAAGCAACAAAGGCAAUCCACAAGACCUAAUUAAAGAGCUCAGAAAGCAGAAAUAGAGACUGUUUUAUUAGUAAAAAGCAAAGCAACCACUUUAUCAAGUACUAAUGUCAUCAGGACUGCUUGCCAAUCUUUACCAAACAUAAUCACUAUUCCGUACCUGCCAGUCUUGGACAGCAAGGUUUGACUCAUUAGAAAUUAGCAUCAAAUAACUAUUCACAUGACAUGGAGGCAAUCCCGUCAGUGGACAAUUCAAAUCACAAUCAGAAACAUUUUUGGUAGUCCACCUCACCCACUUUUGGUAUAUGCAGAAUUCUCCAAGUUGGGUGUAGCAUCAACUUCAGAAUCUCAAGCAUGCAAUAAAACCCACUUCAGGAUGCUUCCACUAUGCCUUAUUGUAUAACUCCUAUUAUAGACAGCACACUGCCCACUUUAUAGUUAGUGCAAUCAGCUCCUUUUUUCUUUUCCUUUUUUCUUAAAACUGUGUCUCAUGCAGUUCAUGAGGUACAACAAGAAAUAAGUGAAUGAAUUGUUAUUUGUUCUUUCAUAUAGUCCUGUGUGAUUUUUUUUUUCCUAGGCUCCCUAUCUUUCUAAUUUUUUGAGAAAUGGCUUGCUGCUUCAUCACUCUUGCCUCACACUAGGUAACAAGAACAUUGGGAAUGUGAUUAAGCAUCAAGUCAGUUGGUAGAAAUAUACAAUGGAGUAGCAAAUCACUUUACAAAUAAUAUAAAAUAACCAAAAGGAGUGUGAAGAAAAAGUCAGGUUCAUAUAAGUAAUAUCCAUUGGUUAUGUGCAGGAGAUCAAGGAAAAUUUAUAAAUUUCAUGACUUACUAUUGGAGGAGACAUCUCGAAGCACUCUUUGUGCCUGGAUAAAAUGCUUCUGCUGCUCAAUUGCAUUCUGAGACCGAAGCAAGGCACUUGGAGUUUGAAGCCCUUGCUGCAAGGAAUUUGGUUGUUGUUGCAUUGCCAAUUGUUGUUGCAACUGUACAGGCUCAGAUUGAAUUUGAGAAAUGAGUUGCUGUGGUGAUGACUGAUGUUGGGAUUCUUGACCUUGUGGUUGCAACAAUGCCAAUGGUGUCUGCUGGGUUUGCUGCUGUUGUUGUGUAACCAUCUUAGAUUGUUGCAAAAUAUGCACCGAGUGCUGAUGUGGCUGCACGUUUGAAACAUUAGCAAGGAAUCCAAGUAGCUGUUGCUGCUGCAGCUGCUGUUGCUGCAGCCCUAAUAAGCUGAUUUGGGGGCCUAACUGCUGCUCCUGAUGUAAAUAAAUACUUUGCUGAUUUAACAUCUGCUGAGGCUGUUGCAUGCCCAAGAGACUAUUCUGCUGAACUGGCCGUCUCUGCUGCCAAGGCCGUUGCAUGUCUUGGACACUACUUUGUUGUCCAAGCAGCUGCGCUUGCUGCGUAUUUGAAAUAUCGGCUUGCUGCCCCACUAUCUGUUGCUGCAAUGGUAAAUUUGAUUGCUGAGGAACUGGAGUUGGCUGUCGCUGAAGUGAAGGUGUUUGUUGAUGAAUAGAAGGCUGUGCUUCUUGUUGUUGCUGUUGUCUCGCAACUGAUUGUGGAUGUUGCUGAAGCAAAGAUGGUACUGAUUGCUGGAUUGAAUUCAGUUGAAUCUGUUGAAAGACAGGUUGCACUGCUGACUGCAUUGUUGUAGGCUGUGUCUGCUGAAUAGUCGACUGACCUGACUGAAGACCUGAUGGCAUUUGUAUCAGAGACUGUUGAGAAGAUUGCAGUUGCGUUGGCCGCAACAGAGACUGUUCCUGCUGCUGCUGUUGCAUAUGCGGUUGCAGGAGUGAACAAUGCUGCAACUUCUGUUUUAGUAACUGUUGUUGAAGCUGGUGCUGGUAAAUAAGCUGAUUCUGAGAUUGCUGCUGCUGUUCGGAAGUUACGUGCUGCUGGUACUGCCUUCCCUGCAUUUGCCUUUGCACAUUGGCAUAAAUAUCUGGUGCUGCACCUUGCCCUACAGAAUUACUUACAGAGUUCUGUGAUAUUCCAGGCAUGUUCUGCAGGUUGGAUGUCUGACCAACACUGGAUAUAUUGGACUGACCAAGACCUGCGAUAGAUGAUAGCGCAGAAGGCAGGUUGGCAGAACUUUGCACAGCAGUUGACGUGUUAUUUUGAAGGUUUUGCGGUAAAAGUUGUUGCCUGGCUGGAAACGGAUUAACCAUGGGAAUUGCUAAUGAUUGCCCUUGAUUGCCGACUGACACCGUUGUUACAAAGAUACCAAGAUGGUUGUUAGUUGACAGAAUUUUUGAAAGCAAUGAAGAAGAAAAGUUCAUCAUGCGAGUAAUUAUCCUCCCUCAGCAAACUUUAAUCAACAAAGCUUUAUGCCAUCCAUAAAAAGUUGGAUCUAGUAUUAAAGUAUUAUUUACCAGAGUUAGAAAGCAUUUUACAACUGGCUCUCCACCUAUCAUCAACCUCAUGGAUCAAUUUUAUACCCUUACUUGGACCCUUCGUUUAGCUUACACAUCUGCACCAAUAGUUUAAAAAAAGACAUGCACACAUGGGUUCAUAAGAAGAAAUUCCUGGAUACACAAAGGAUCCAGUGUUUACGCAUGCACCAGCACCCUAGAGCAUAUGUAAUACAGGAUGUACCUAGUUUAGGCAUCUUUAGAGAAGGAAGAGACUUACCAUAAGGCAUAAAGAGGUUGAUACUUGGUAGUCAGAAAACCUAUCCACUUUGUUGCACAACAAGCUUAAAGAAAUGGGAGCAAAACCCAAUAUACAUUAGCACGUAUCCUACAUUGGAUUCUUUGAACUAAGAAUUGUCAAUGCAAAGAAAUAAGAUUUGGUUUGUCCAUGUUUUGGAUUUUUAUGUGGUCAGGAAUAUACAAAAAGUGGAUGAUUUCUGCUAGAAAAAAAUAUGCACCUUCUUCAACAAUUCCAUGCAAUUUUGCAUGAAAAUUAGCAACAUUAGUGUGUUUCGUGGAAAAUGAUUUUAUAUCAAAAAAGUAAUAAAUCUCAAAAUAUGCUAAUGAAAACUCUACAACCAUCUAUAUAAUAUUAGUAAAAUGAUAAACGAGUAUCAGAGGUGAAAUCCCAUGUUGAUAUGUGUCGAGCUCAGAGCUCUCCCAGUGCGCCAUAUGUCGAGCUCUGAACUCUCCACGAUGGUUUUUUUCUCUAGCAGUAUUUUUUUCUUUUUCUUUCUUUUUCUUCGAACCUUUCUCGAGCCCUCUCGAACCUUCUUGAGCCCUUGCGGACGCCCAUCUCCUCCUUGCUCUCCUCACUAUCACCUCCCAUCAGUCUUCACCAUCGCCUUCCUCCCCAUCGUCUCCAAUGUCGGGCUUCCCCUUCCAAUCUCCCUUAAGUACUUUCCUUCCCACAGAUCUCCGAAAAAGAGAGAUGCCUACCUCCUCCCUGCUCUCCGACCGCUACCUCCUGCCGGUCUCCGCUGUCACCUUCCUCCAGAUCGUCACCGGCAUCGGCCUUCCCCUCCGAUCUCCCUUAAGUGCUUUCCUUCCCAUAGAUCUCUGAAAAAGAGAAAGAAAUGAAAACAAAAAAAGAAACAAAAGGAAAAAAAAUUACCCAACACAAAACCCCAACCAUCAUCUAAACUUCCCCAUUCAGCCGUUCUAAGCCUCCCACCCGGUUGGGACUCCUGAGGACGGAAAAAAUAGAAAAAAAUGGGGGAAAACAUAGGAAAAAAAAUGAAAAUAAAAGAAAGAUGGAAAAAAUUUAAGGAUAAGUCCUUUCCCCACAUAGAUGAUCAUUCUUUUUUUCCUUUUCACUUCUUUUUCUUUUUAAUUCAUUAUCUUUUUCAGCAAUCUCCAGGAAAAAAAGAGAGCACUUAAGAAAGAUUAUAGGGGUUUCUUAGGUUCCAAUUGGGUUUUUUCUGAAGUAUAUGGGAUUUUGUGCGAGUUGUGGUGGUGUGGGUUGGUCCCCUGAGGUUUUGAAAACUUAAUCUGGGUAGAAGCAUGAUAUUUUGUAGGGUUUGGGAAUUUUUGAUCAAAAGGAUUCUUCUUUGGCUACAAAAAUUUUCAAUUUAUGGGGCUCUAUUCUCAUGAAAACGAUGUUAGGGGCUACAUGAUGGGGACCGCCGGCAGGUGACAUUUUCGAUGGAGGCAUGGUAGAGGUGAAUAGGGGGCCACUAUAUUUAAAAAAAAAAAAACUAUAUAGUGAGAGUUCAGAAUUCCAAAAAGAGAAAAAGGAAAAAAAUUAAUCAAUCUACAUGAGAAAAGGUUUUGCCUUUUAUUUUUUCCACCAUUUCUCUGGUAAUAUUAGUAAAAUGAAAAGCAAGUGAUUUAAGGUGAAAUGUGGUGUUGACAAGUUGGAUUUUAAACAUAAUCUCAAGAUGCCACAUAAGUAUGACUCAAAAGAUGAAUUAUGUGAUUAGUUGAAUUAUGUGAUGUAUAGUAAUAGUAUUGUGUUAAGUGUAAAGUCAAAAUACCAAAAAGUAAUAUAUUACAUUAAUUGAUUAUUUAUGGCUUUUUCAUGUUCAUGAACAUUUGCAUUGAAAACAACAAAGUCUCUUAAAAUUCUCAAAUUUUUCUCAUCUUAAGACAUUAUGACCAAAACCUUAUCAAAACAAAAAAGCCAAAUGCACCAUCCUUUACGGUCCUCAUUUUCACUCUCUAAUCUAUUAAAUUUAGAAAAGAAAAAUCUUUCUCUUUCUCUGCUGUCAAUAGAAGAAUUUGAUCAAAACAAUAAAUAAAAGAAAAAAACAAAGAAUUUGCCAAUGGUUGCUAAUGCCAACCAUGAUCGAAUAGCCGGCCUACCUUACUCUCUACCACCGAUCAGAAGCUAAAGCUUUCCAUUAUAUUCCACCAACACCAAGGCAUGCUCUCUCUCUCUCUAAUUUUGGUGAUCAUAUUUCAAUUAUGAGAUAUUCAAGGAAUUUUUAGUUUGAAUCACUGUUGUUUCAAUUUUUAGGAAUAUUUUCACUAUCAUAUAAUUGGAAAUUUUAGAGGUAACUAUCAUGAAGCAUUCGGUUUUUCGUCUUAAGAUGACUUCUUGAAGCAUUUUAAUUCAGAAGCAUUUACUAUGCAAUAGGGUUUAAAAGGCAGAUUUCAUGUUGAUUCAUAAAAAAAAAUUAUCUUCAAUUGAUUUUGCAGAAAUUCUGCACAGAAUUCAUGUUAUACGUUUUAGACUUUCUAAUAUCGUUACAUAGAUAAUUCGUUAGCUAGCUAAACUGCAGCCUGAUAUUUGAAACUUGAGAAUGAAAUUUGCCAUGCCUAGAAUAGAUUGGCAUAUCGUUGGCUUGAUUGGUAAUGGUACUUGGUAUUAAGCUACAUGGAAGUUUCAAAGAAGCCAAUAUAAGUUUCAAUUUUGCUAUCCACACAAGACUAUUUGUAUUAAAUCAAAAUCAAAAUACAUGUCUGUUUUAUAAUGACAGUGUGUACAUAUGUAAAUGCCCCCUUUUGAAACAUGACAUAUUCAAAAUAAGGCCAGUAUUUUGCAGAAAUUAUCUUCAAUUGGUUUUGCAGAAAUUCCGCACAGAAUUCAUAUUAUAUGUUUUAGACUUCUAAUAUUAUUACAUAGAUGAUUCGUUAGCUAGCUAAACUACAGCCUGAUAUUUGAAACUUGAGACUGAAAUUUGCUAUGCCUAGAAUAGAUUGGCAUAUCGUUGGCUUGAUUGGUAAUGGUGCUUGGUAUUAAGCUACAUGGAAGUUUCAAAGAAGCCAAAUAUAAGUUUCAAUUUUGCUAUCCACACAAGACUGUUUGUAUCAAAUCAAAAUCAAAAUAUAUGUCUGUUUUAUAAUGACAAUUUGUAUACAUGUAAAUGCCCCCCUUUGAGCCAUGACAUAUUCAAAAUAAGGCCUAUAAUCUUUUUUUAAACAGAAGGCAUAUCAGUUCCUAUUGAAACUAAAUAAUCAAAUAGGAUUUUAGUAUAAUGUUGAGGCUGUCACAAGGGAAAAUUGAUGUUGAUCAUGCAAUAAUUUGUUAUUCAAAUUAUGUUUUGUUGUUAUUUUCUAUUGAUUGUUUUGGAUGGGUUCAUGAAUUUAUGAUGCCUUCAUUUCCUAAUUGCUUUCAAUUAUGUAAUGGUUGUUUAAAUGGUUAGUUGAUUUGAUGUGGCGGUGUUCUAUAGAUAUAGUUCCAUUUUUAUUUAGAGUCACCACACCGGGCAAGAUUCAUAUAGCGGACAUCAGCAAGGAAGGUAAUAGGCGAAACCUGAAAAAUACACAAGAAAAGCAAAAGAAACCUUAGGUAGUGCCUAUGAGCUUAUGCAGUGCCUUCACUUCUUUAUCAUUGGUGUUGUAGGUAUUGGAAAAAGCUUUAAUCUAGCUCUUCAGAUGAGUAAUUCCGCAGUUCUCCAAAUUUUGAUCAUGUUGGCUGGAGAAAUAAAAAGAUUACAGAUAUUGUGAUGCAAAUGAUGCUGCUCAAGAUGUGGACAGCGAUUUUUCCAUUUAGUUUGAAUAGAUGAAUUUUUUUCUCAGAAUUGAUUUUAUUUUUUGUAAUUUGCAGUUUCUUUUUCUGUGUUGUUUCUUAAAGAGUUGUUUUAAUGUUAUCCAUUUACUAUAAGGAUUAACUUUGAUAAUGUUAGAAGACGAAUUCGCUAAAUAACCUGAUCAGUCCUCUGGCCAAUAGCCUUGGCAAGAAUAUUGUUAUAAUCCUUGACCCCCAAAACAAAUUCUCUUCAAUGCUUAUUGGCACCGGGUUUCUAUUUGACUUAGUGCAGCUGAAAAUGGUUUGCAAUCUUUAUUAGAUUGGUUGUCAGUUUAUUAAACUAACUGAAAGAUGGAUUGAAAUGGUAGACACCUAAUAUAAGCAACAUCUUUUUUUUUUUUUCUUGACUUGAUUGAAAGUUUCAAGUUUCAACAGCCUGCGAAGAGCUAAAUUUCAGAAUUCAUAAUGGUCCUGUUCACUAUGUAGCUGGAUUAUUAGAGUUUCUCCCAAGUGCUGCAGUACAAUAUAAAGCCUGAAGACUCUUAUGAACAGAAUCCUUUCUACAGCUUUGUUUUCUAAUAUCUCUAAGAAUCGGAAUCUAGUGUAAUUUGUUUCCUUCCAGAUUUUUUAGUUUAAAGGUUCUGAUUGCAUUUCUUUUGAAAGGAGGAGCAGAAACCUACCUUGUACCAUUCUUGAUUUUUGGACUUGCUAACAUUAAUAGCAUAAAAAAAAAUGUUAUUAUGAUUAUCAAUUAAACCCCCGCAAUGCGGGGAUUGAGUGCUAGUUUAUUUCAAUAUCAGAUAUUGUCAAGUGGCAGAGAAAAUUUCACAUGCCCAAGUCAGUUGCUUUGUAAAAUUGUUAAAUUCAAAUCAGAUUUCAUAAAGAAAUAAUAAUUUAUAGUGCAAAUAAGAGCUGUUUUUAGUUAAUUUAUUAUUAAUUUGGUAACCAUGCUGAGUUUGUACGAAUAUCCAUGUUCCCAUUUGUUGUUUAUUCACCCAUCAUAUCAUUCAUCCAUUUAAAUCGCACUUAUUAUUCUUAGAAACAAUGGUAAAGUUUCUUAUCGUAGAUGCUUUAGAAGUUGAGUUUCUUUGUUGUGACUGUUUACUUAAUCUAGUAUAAUGUUAAUUCAUGUUAAUUUUUACGUUAGACUUCUUUAGUUAAGGUAUAUGCAAGUACUCUACAUGUCAAUUAGUUUUUUAGAAUGCAUCCUAGACAUGCCAUAGGAUGCUAAAAAGAUUGGUCAAAGAAAAAAAAAAUGUCACGUCAAAGCAUGUCUGUUUCAAAGAAAGAAGCAUUUAAAAUCAAAGUUCUCAGUUCCGAUACCGGUGGCCAUUCCGGUUGACCGACGGCACGGCUUGGUACAGUUCCAUACCGGAUCGGACAGGAGCGAACCGACAAAGGGACGUUCCGAGGAAGAGAAAAAGAGAGAAAGAGAGGAAAAAAGAGGAAGAGGGAGAAAGGAAGAGAAAGAGAGAGGGGGGUCUGUCGGAGAGGCCACCAAAGGGCCUCCGAUUGGCCGACAUGGCUGUCUAGCAGCGUAAACGCCGCCUGCGGUUCCGCAGUGUGAAACAAGGGCGAUCGCCCCUAUUUCACAAGCUUUUUUAAAAAAAUCCGAUAACAGUGAAGCCGGCAAUGAGUUUGCCGGCUUCCUUGUUUUUGAUCUUUUUUUAAAAAAAUUGGAAAUAGUAAAGCAGGCAAAUCGAUUGCCGACUUCACCAUUUUUAAUUUUUUUUAAAAAAAUUCUGAAAAGUGAAGCCGGCAAACGAAGUGCCGGCUUCAUUGUUCUUCUUCUCCUUUAAAAAAAGGCCGACGCCCACCGCUUCUGCGACUCCACUCGCGCCACUUAUGCCGCCCAAUGGCCAUGGCAGCCACCCAAAGACCUCCAGCGGCCUUUCCGCCGUCCUGUCCUCCCAUCUCCAAUGGUCCCCCCUCUCUCUCUUUCUCGCUCGUUGAGACAGCCCCAUCGUGCAAACCGAGCCGCGACGGCUUCCGCCACCCUUCGACGGCUACAGAGGGCCACCACCGGCUUCCGACGGCCUCUCCCUCUCCUCUCUCUCUGCCUCUGUUUUUCUCUCUUUCUUCUCCGAUACUGGCAUGUGCCCGCUUCCCCACCGGUCCAGUUCGGCAUGCCCCGAACCGCCCGAUUCGAGACGAUUCUGAGAACCAUGUUUAAAACAAUUAUAAAAGGGUAGGGAUUAAUGGACAUUAAAGCAUGUUCGUUGCAAGUUUUCAAGUGUCUAACAAAAUUUUCUGUAUUAAUGCUUGACAUAUAUCAUACAGGCCCCUAACCAACAUAAGCAAAAUAAGUAAUAUGUUAACAUUUUCUUUUUGCAAGUCCAUUGAACUCCUUUAGUUGUAAGCUAUUGACAUUUCAAUCCAUUUAUGCAGUUUAACAACAUAGGAGACUAUAUUUGUAUUCAUCUAUUUUGUCAUUAAGUCUGACAAAGCAGUGGAAGCAAAACCAAAGGUCAACCUGACCUGCUUCUAUUUAGGUCAGAUUUAGGACAGGGAUUUUAGUUUGGGUUAUGCACAGGUCAAAUUUUUUGACCCAGACAUUAAACAUGUCAGAUACAGGUCAAAGUUUUGACUGUACUCACGUGAUGAGAAUAAAGUUUUAUUUGGAUCAGGUUGAUUCUUGAACUUGGUGGAAAGAUUUUGAGAACAAUCGAUGUCCUUUUGGUAAUAUUUGUAAUAUUCACCUCAGUUUGAUGCAUCAAGAGUUGCAAGGAUUGGUCAAAAUGUCUUAGUUAGUUUGGGUAUGCAUCAUGUUGCAUGGGUUUGGCCAGUCGGGGCAGUUAAAAUGUCAGUGGGUACAUGGGACAAAGAAUCCCAAUAUGAUACUGGGUCAGGUUAAAUAUGGUUCAAGGUCUCCAUGAUAUUGUCCUACUUGGACCCAUUCGAGCUAUUAAACAAUAGGCAUGGAACAAGAACUAAAAAGGAUGAGAAAAACAUAUCAAGAAACAAUAGUGGAUGCCAAUUAUACAGAAAAAAGGAACCAAAUAAAAUUGUACUUAGAGGUAGGGAAAGAAUGCACAUGGUGCAACACCAAAUGAUAUUUCAUUUGUAGAAAAAGCUCAGAGAAUUAUCUGCUUCAUGUCGACUAUAAGUCAAAAUAAAAAGUGAAAACAAACAAUUAGAUGUUAAAACAAAUGGAGCAGUAUCUGUGAGUUUCUUUUAGAUGCCAAGCAUACAAGUACUCCAAUACCCAAAUGUCUCAUUUAAAUCUUUUAUGACAUUGCAUUAAUAUGAAGCAAUAUGUUCUAUCACGUCAAUACCUUGAUCUGUAGGAUUUUGGUUCGGAAUGGUGGUGUUUGGCAUUGAAGAGUUAAUUGGAGGAGUAUGCUGAGUCUUUGUCUCUAUUGAAAGCAUUUUCAGAGAAAUUUUCCUCAGAUAAUCAGGCUGCAAUAUCAGAAAUAUUACUUCCCAUGAGAGCUGACAAUUCAAAUUAAUGAGAAUGAGAGGAAACACAUAUAAAGCCUUUUUUUGGAGGAAGAGAAGGAAUAUGCACAACAAGGAGACUCGUCUGUCCACCUUGUGGAUGAAUAUAUUCGCUUCACCUACAGUUUGACUCGCCCAGACUAGCUAUCGAAAUACUUACCAUAAUACAUCUACAUUUUAAAUCAAGCCUUUAUAAUUAGCAGAAUUUGAUUAUCUAAACCCGCUAUUCCUGGCCGAACAACACAUAUCAGUCAAAGAAAAUCAAAAGCAUGACUUGCAAUAUGGAAGAUUAGCAAACAGCAGACAGCUGCCAACAUCAAGUAGAUCAAGUAGCCAUGCUCAAGUCAAGGAAAUAUGUGGAAGUUCAGCAAGAGCUGCAGGACAUUGAUUUUUUCCUUCUUUUUCUCCACUAGAUGAAAUAACUACCAACAAGUAAAAAAGUAACAAUAGUUCCUAUAACUGGCCUCUCAGCAUGCUAAAUCAUGAUACCCAACCAACUCAUUAAUUUACAAAAAGUCUAGCUUCUCCCAUAUGUUUUUAUUGAGAUUUGACUACGAGCUUAACAAAUGCACCUCAUAAGCAUAGACCGUGCAUUUUCAUAUUUCAUCAAGCAAUUGAACUCCUUCAAUCUCUUACCAGCCCCUCUCCCAUUCUCCUAAAGGCAUGCAGGUAGCCAUAGAAAACGAAGGAAGACAAAUCAACCUUUCCCCUCAGCUCUUUCCACUUACAAUAACAUACAUUUUUCGCUAUUGCACCACAUCAUUAGUAUCAAUUCACACUACUACUCAGCUCCAAAAGGCCAAAUUCCACAACUCCACCGUCUCGAUGAUCUUGACAUGCUACAUCUUGAUGAGAAUUGUACAAAAACAAACAUAUCGAUCUUUGUACGAUGUUACAUCAUUAGUAGUAAUUCACGCUGUUGAAUUACAAAUGGCCAACAAUUCCUUGUGAGGGUUCUUGCUGUAAACAUCUUCAAUUCCACCAAUCUCAAACAUUUUAACAUGAGAACUGCAUUGCUCUUUGUACUACACUUCAUCAGUAAUGUUAAUUUCCCCUAUUUAAUUCCAAAUGGAAGACAAAUUCGUUGGAGUGUUUGCUGCUCAAC
rnacentral:lncRNA from 1 species